GUGAAUCAUCGAAUUUUUGAACGCAAAUUGCACUCUCUGGUAUUCCGGGGAGUAUGCUUGCUUGAGGGUUAGUUUGUUACAAUCGUAAAAAGAAAUUUUUACGGAUCUGGAUUUUCCAAAAGUUAUAUUUUUGGUAAUCUAAAAUUAAUAUUAAAAUAAGGUGUAAUUGGAAUGGUUUUUUUUUAUUUAUUAAA
rnacentral:misc_RNA from 1 species